GGGACUUGGGAACCGUUAAUACUAUCUCAUUUUCCUCAAGAUACAACUGUUUCAUUUUUUCGUAACUUUUAUAUUUUGUAAACGUUCCUCUUAUCAUUCAUACAUGUCUUUAUAAUUCCCAAGUUCUAAAGAGUCCCUUCGGGGACUUUCUUAAUGCUAAAAAAGCAGUUUGAUGCUACUUAUAGUCGCUAUAAGCCAUCUAAACUGCUUUCUUAGUUUUGAUAGUUAUUCCUAAUGUUGUGUCUAUAUAUUAUAUAUAGUCCUUAUUAAUAACUAUUCUUAUUAAUAACUAUUUUUAUAUUUACCGGCGCUGUGGGGGUUGGCUAGCUCGCUGGGGGUGGCGGGCUGUGGAUUUGCUUAAUCGUGAGCUGCUUAAUUUGUUCAAACAACUCUGGUUUUUCCGCCAACACGCUAAAGAGCUUCUCUUUGCCAAUCGCAAUGUUUUGGCUCUUAAACGAAUAUGCAUUGUCACUGCGCACCACCACAUUGUGUUUAAGCGCUAACUCAAUCACUUCGUGUUCAUACACAAUACCGCGGUUAAACAUAAUUUCCAAAAAGGCAACACCAAACGGGCGCGCUACCUUAUUCUUGGACACGGUUAACUUACUCUUAAUGCCGACAUAGUUACCAAAGCGGUCUUUGAGCAGUUCACUGCGUUUGGCCUCCAUCCGCAUCGAAGCGUAGAACUUCAACGCCCGACCCCCAGUAGUUACUUCCCCAUUACCAAACAUGACUCCGGGUUUUUCCCGGAGUUGGUUAAUAAACAGUAAGCAGGUGUCAGAUUCAGGUAAGAGUGACUGCACACGGCGUAGUCCCUUAGACAUCAUCCGCGCAUGGAGUCCUAUUGUCUGGUCAUCCAUGUUGCCCUCCAGUUCUUGCUUAGGAAUCAAAGCCGCCACGGAGUCCACCACAAUUAAGGCCACUUUGUUGGUCUUAAUCAGUGACUCCAUUAGGGCAAAGGCGUUUUCCCCAUGCUUGGGAUGGGCUACUAGUAAUUUACCCAAGUCAAUCCCAAUUGCCUUGGCGUAACUUAAAUCUAGUGCACCCUCAGCAUCAAUGUAACAGGCCACUUUGCCCGCUUUUUGAAAGCUAGCGACUGCAUGUAACGCGACCGUGGUUUUACCCGAGGACUCGUUACCAUAAAGUUCUACAAUGCGCCCUAGUGGCAAACCACCAGUGCCGAGCGCUUCAUCUAAAUGAAGGCUUCCAGUUGAGACAGUUUUAAUUUCACUGUUUUUCUUUGCAUCUAAAAAAUCAAAGUCUGCCAAGUUAUUGUUUUGAAUAAAACUGUUGUCUUGGCUAAUUUUC
rnacentral:sRNA from 1 species